rnacentral:lncRNA from 1 species
UCGGAAGAGGAUCUUAAAAAGGACUUAGAGUAGAAUCUUCCGAUAAGUUCAAAUUAAGAUGAUGAUCUUAAUGACAUGUAAUAUUUUCGUGAGAUUUCGUACUACUUUAACUCUAGGUAGAUGUAAUGUAAGGGAGAUAAUAGUUAUCUGUACAAAGAAGUUAGUAGUUUGGCUUUUAAAGUGUAUGACUAGAAUGGAUUAUAAAGUAGCUGUUUAAAUGACUGGAUGUAUAUGGGAAUCUUUUGGUAGGACAAAAGUGGAUUAGCAUUAUGGCUAUUAAGGAAAG